UACCAGCACCCCGAGUGGUCGGGACGAUUAUUGGGCCUAAAGCAUCCGUAGCCGGUUCUACAAGUCUUCCGUUAAAUCCACCUGCUUAACAGAUGGGCCGCGGAGGAUACUACAAGACUAGGAGGCAGGAGAGGCAAGCGGUACUCAGUGGGUAGGGGUAAAAUCCGUUGAUCCAUUGAAGGCCACCAGUGGCGAAGGCGGCUUGCCAGAAUGCGCUCGACGGUGAGGGAUGAAAGCUGGGGGAGCAAACCGG
rnacentral:rRNA from 1 species